AAAACAAAGAGCAGUGCUUUACCUGACAAACUCUGCCAGGAGAAGAAAAUUAAACUUACAAUCUCACUAAAAGCGUUGCAAAAAGAUUCAUAAUCAUUAUUUGUUACUUCUAGGUUGUCUGUUAAGCGGUACACCACAUACAAAUCUAUUCUUCCUCUAGUCUAACAUGUUCGGAGGAACUGAGCGUUAGAAAUGACUAAGACUGAGACCACACUGAAGAACAUACUGUAAAAGGAACAAAGUCACAGACCCUUUAUCGGGAAAAAUAUUUUGGUAAUCACCUGCAAUUCUGAAGCAAUAACACCACAAACAACAUCACAUUAUGAAGAAAAAGAGCCUUGUGGAUAACAGCCGAACCCUGGGACAUUCAGCUGCCUGACACUCACCAGAGCAGGUAUUUGUCGCUAAAGUGAUUUGAGGUCUCAUUUUGUAGCAGUUCAGAUCACAUUUUUCUCACAGGUAUCGAAAAGA
ensembl:lncRNA